AGUGGUUUCAACGCAGAGGACGCGGGGUUGUUAGAACAGUCAAACCACCAACUUGACUGCCAAAGAACAAUAACAGGAAAAACCUAAUAUGG